UACAGAGGGGGCAAGCGUUGUUCGGAAUUACUGGGCGUAAAGGGCGCGUAGGCGGCCUGUUAAGUCGAACGUGAAAUCCCCGGGCUCAACCCGGGAACUGCGUCCGAUACUGGCAGGCUUGAAUUCGGGAGAGGGAUGCGGAAUUCCAGGUGUAGCGGUGAAAUGCGGUAGAUAUCUGGAGGAACACCGGUGGCGAAGGCGGCAUCCUGGACCGAGAUUGACGCUGAGGCGCGAAAGCCAGGGGAGCAAACGGGG
rnacentral:rRNA from 1 species